ensembl:scaRNA
UUUGGAGGACCAAGAAGGCUGAGUCUGAUGAAGCAAGACUUUGCUGAUACACUCCUCCUAGACAAAAGGGGUGGAGAGAGCAGCUCUUACUGGAGAAAACCACAGGGCUUUCUGUACUACCCAACAUUU